UACGUAGGCAGCGAGCGUUGUUCGGAGUUACUGGGCGUAGAGGGUGUGUAGGCGGUUGUUUAAGUUUGGUGUGAAAUCUCCCGGCUCAACUGGGAGGGUGCGCCGAAUACUGAAUGACUUGGAGUGCGGGAGAGGAAAGUGGAAUUCCUGGUGUAGCGGUGAAAUGCGUAGAUAUCAGGAGGAACACCGGUGGUGUAGACGGCUUUCUGGACCGUAACUGACGCUGAGACACGAAAGCGUGGGUAGCAAACAGG
rnacentral:rRNA from 1 species